AUGUGGGGCUGGGGGAGCCCAGGAAGCGUUUCCCGCCCCGCCGCCCCCCGUGUCCCCCGCCACCACGUCACCCUGCUGCUGGCAGUGCCCACGCCGGGGCCGUGCUCACCUCUCGGGGGUCCCGCAGGAGAGCCCCCCGUGGGGCAGGGCGUUCUCGCAGACGGAGUUCCUGGCCGUCUCCCCGCAGCAGGCGUAGCGUCCGCCCCGGUAGGGCUGCCGGUGCCUCAGCACGAUCUCGAACUCGUACUCGAUGCUGUUGGCGUUGAGCAGCGCCUUCCGCAGGGACUCGAAGAGGGGCACGCGGCGGUCGGUCCAUAUCGCCGCGCCGCCGCCUCCGGCCCGAAAGCUGGCCGUGGCGUAGGUGAUGUCGUGCAAGCCCAGGAAGUGCGAUGCCUCGUGGAUGAGCGUCCCGGGCUGCGAGUCCUUCUCCAGCUCGCCGGGGGCCUGCCAGAAGAGGGGGCACAGGUAGAUGGUGCGGUCCCAGGCGUUCUUCUUGACGUAGGCGUAGGACCUGGCCCUGCGGGGGUUUUUGCGGAAAGCCGCCUGCUGGAGCUGCGAGACGAGGCUGCGCAGCAGCUUCUUGGUGAGCAUGGCGUAGCGCUCCACCCAGCCCUCGCCCCCCUGGCCCUCCCCGGCCAGCACCACCACGUCCUUCAGGUUCUUCAUCAGCACCCGGUCCUUCCUCAGCGCAUCCUCCAGCAGCUCCAGCGCCGCGCGCUGGGCUCGCCGCGCGAUCCCGCUCUCCUCCUCGCUCAGCUCCUCCGACACAUCCUCGCUGCAGGGCAGGGCGCAGCACGAGCUGCCCGUCACCGCCUUGGUGUGGAUGAGGGUGGCCUUCUGGGGGGACAUCCUGCAGGGGCGGCUGGGUCAGGACAUGGCGGCAGGGGACCCAAAGACCCCAAGCGGACCUCUGCCGCUGCUGGCACAGCACCACAGGGCCACCUCCGGCCUCCCCCUGUCCCCUCCCUGUGCCGCAGGAUUGCCCAGGGGGACAGAGCAGGGCCAGGAGGAGGCAGGAGAGCCCUGCUCCCCACAGCACCGUGGAUUUUCCCCACUUCGCCCCCGCCUCCAGCCCAGACCCCACCCUCCACCUGCCACCUCUGGGCUCCACCAGCACCCCGAGGGCCCCACCGUGGUGUCACCGACCUCACCUGCGCCGUGCCCCCAGCUGGGGGACGGGUGACGGAGGAGCAGACAGCUGGCGGCCCCGUGGGAGCGCAGUGCCGGGGAAAGCAAGCAGCGGCCUCUCAUCGAUAG
rnacentral:lncRNA from 1 species